UACAGAGGGGGCGAGCGUUGUUCGGAAUUACUGGGCGUAAAGGGCGCGUAGGCGGCCUUCUAAGUCGAACGUGAAAUCCCCGGGCUCAACCCGGGAACUGCGUCCGAUACUGGGAGGCUUGAAUCCGGGAGAGGGAUGUGGAAUUCCAGGUGUAGCGGUGAAAUGCGUAGAUAUCUGGAGGAACACCGGUGGCGAAGGCGGCAUCCUGGACCGACACUGACACUGAGGAGCGAAGGCGUGGGGAGCGAACGGG
rnacentral:rRNA from 1 species